rnacentral:rRNA from 1 species
AGUGAACGCUGGCGGUAUGCCUAACACAUGCAAGUCGAACGGCAGCACAGCAAGAUCUUGCUCUUACGGGUUGCGAGUGGCGUACGGGUGACGAAUACAUCCUAACCUACUUUUUCGUGGAGGCUAACGUAGGUAAACCUACUCUAAUAUCGCAUACGGCCUACGAUUGAAUGCAGGAGAGCUUUGCGGUUUGCGCUAUUGAAGCAGCCGAUCUCGUAUUUGCUGGUUUGCGGGGUAAAGGCCCACCAAGCCGACGAUCGGUAGCUGGUCUGAUAGGAGGAUCGGCGACACUAGAAGUGAGACACGCUCCAGACGACUGAGGGAGGCAGCAGUCGGGAAUAGUGGACAAAGGUGGGAAGCAUGGCCCAAUGGUAGCGAGUGUGUUAAGAAGGCCUUCGGGUUGUAAAGCCCUUUUGUGGGGAAAGAAAAGCAGCAGGUUAAUACGCAGCUGUUGUGACGGUACCCAAAGAAUAAGCACCGGCUAACUUCGUG